UAUUUGGGCUUUAAAGAAAGAAUUAAAACGGACAACCAAACAGAAGCAGCAACCUACGGAGCUGUGGAGCGAUUCAGGAUAAAGCAAACUGUAAACGCGAAUUGAGAAUAUCAUUGUGGAGCCGCAAGCAAAGGAGAUUAAUAUGGGUGACGCAUUGUUCAUGCUGGAGCAAGCUCUUAACUCCAAACGGGAGAAAUUGACACCUCAGGAAGCUGAUAUUCUCUCUUCAUGCAAAACUAAAGCUCUUGAGAAUUUCACUGAUAGUGCAAUUAUGGCUGGUACAGUUGCAUGGUCAGCAACUUGGAAACUCAAGAGAUCAUUUCGAGUCAACCUUGCAGCUGGGGCUGCUGCUUUCUUUGGGUUGAGGAGAUUGUUUAGAUCCUUGGAUUCCUCCAUAGAUUAUAUUCUUCAACUGGAUGGAAGUAGAAUGCAGCAGGAGUUAGCAGAUAUAUUGGUGACACGGUUUCAGAAUGAUCCUUCAAAAAUGCAACUUGUCUCCAAGCAUUUUUAUACGGAGAGAGUAUAUGAUGAUUCAACCUCUAAUCACCCUAAAUUAAGAUGGCGAUAUCGGAAUUCCUAUAGCGAUAUUCAUGUCAAUGGUCAAAGGAAACUUGAUUAUGACUUUUCUGAUAGUUCCUUUGCUGACUCUUAUGAUGACUCAAAAAAUAGUUCCCAAGGCAGCUCCGAGGAAGCCUUUGACAGCGCAAAAACCAAACGUGACACCAAGCAUAUUUUUAUAAACCCUGUUCUUGAUAGGGAGGAAGAGACACAUCCUCUUGACUAUCUUUUCGCUGUUGAUAGUCCAGUGGAAGAGAUUCAUCAUUCUAGUGCCCCAAAUAAACCAGCAGAGAUACCGAAUCGUGCCCAUAGAAGAUCUCACCGUAGGCAUCGGAUGCGUCGUCAUCAAGAUCUUUCCAACUCUAAAGUAUGAACCUUGCAACAGCUGGUUAACUGUUGACUGACAAAUCAACAAUCGAUGAGUUGAGAUAUAAAGAUUAUGCAACUGUAUAAUCUUGGUCGGGGGAAGAUAACAUAGAGAUUACUUAGCAUCAGUCUUUCGGAGGAGUGGAAGGUCCCAGAGAAUUAGGAAAUUGUUCACGAAAAAGGAGAAGGAUUGUGGAAGAAGCGUUAAUGGCAGAUUUGAUGAGAAAAGAGAUAUGUGGGCGGGCAAUCACGAAGGCGUUUCUAGGUCUACAUCUCCUUAUAGAUUUAGGAAAGACAGUGUAUUCGGAUCUGAAGAUGGUGGUGAUUUGAUCUCAUUGGGCGCUAUGAGCUUUAUUUCUGCGAUGAGAAGCUUCGUCAUGAAUGAUAGUUUGCUCCUAGAUUUUAGAGGAAGAAGUGGUUACAAUGAAGCAAAAUUCAGACGGAGUGGGUUUGACGAGAAGAAGAGAUUAAUUCAUGGACAUUGAUGGAGGAUUCUACAAUAUAAACAGGCGUGUUUUCAUUGAGAGAGUGUGAUUUCAAAGGCAUCGAUGAGUCAAGAUUCAUCGACUUGACGCUUGAUUAUUUUUCUUCAAAAUCAAAACCAACGUAUCCAUCUGCAAAACUAGGUGAUAGACUAUCUACAUUUGGGAGCACAGUAUGUGGGAAUUUCAGGGGCAACGAAGGAGAUGGAGAUUUAAGCAAUGUAGGAUCAUUGUAAAUGACCGAGGAAUCAAGAGAGGAAGAAGAAGCAUGAAGAGCUGGGGAUGGAUUUUUAGGCACCAUGGAAUGGAAAGAAAAAGGACAAGAAGAUCUCAUGUUCAAAACAUGAUAAUACAAUAUUAAUCGCAAAGUAUCAAUCAAUCAAUUAAGCAAGAAUUGAUGUCUUCACCAUCAUUCCUCUCAUCCUUGCCUUCCUCUACAUCUGUUGGAAGAAGACGAAGUUGAAGAGAACGUGGAGAAUGUGGAUCCACAAAUUUGAGUUAACGAAGGUCAGCAACAAUGGACAGAAUGUUGCAUAUGCUCCGUUUUUUAAUAAUUGAUGAUCUUUUUGCACCAAUUUAUAGUAUGGGAUAUUCACU